GACGAACGCUGGCGGCGUGCUUAACACAUGCAAGUCGAACGAAGUGUCGAACGGGUGAGUAAUACGUGGGUAACCUGCCCUCCUUUUUGGGAUAAGCCUUGGAAACGGGGUCUAAUACCGAAUAACGGGGGUUGGGCUCGCGGCCUAUCAGCUUGUUGGUGGGGUGAUGGCCUACCAAGGCGGUGACGGGUAGCCGGGCUGAGAGGGUGAACGGCCACAUUGGGACGGAGAAACGGCCCAGAGGCGUACGGGAUGCAGCAGUGGGGGAUAUUGGACAAUGGGCGAAAGCCUGAUGCAGCGAGGCUGCGUGGGGGAUGAGGGCUGUCGGGUUGUAAACGUCUUUCGGUAGGGAACGGGUAGGUGGAGAAGAAGCGCCGGCUAACUACGUGCCAGCAGCCGCGGUAAUAC
rnacentral:rRNA from 1 species